GUGGUGGCGGCGGCGGCGGCGGCAUUGGUGUUGGUGCUGGUGCUGGUGUUGGUGUUGGUGUUGCGGGUUGGUCUACCAGUACGUGGCGAGGACAUACAACAGCCAGUAUGUGGAGAGGCAGUGAGAACUGUGCUGCUCUGGAAUAGCUUGCGGCCAGAGGACGCUGUGAUGGGGGAUUAGUUGGCAGCGGGACAGCACCCUACCUCCUACGGCGAGACCAUAGUGCUGGCGUGCCACAGAAAAGCGGCGGGCAGAGUUAGGAGCUCUGCCCAUCCGGGCACCUCGGAGCAGAGAGACUGACAGGACAGCCGAGGACGCCACGGGGUUUUCCUUGCCCCGCUCCGAUUGACUGGAUUUUAAUUCCGUGGCUGACGCCACUGGACUUUUAGUGUGUUUGUUUUAUUGGUUUUUAUUGUGUGUUCUCCCUGGCCAGGGUUGUUUUAAUUGCUUUUAUACUUUUAAACGGUUUUUGUGUAAUAAAUUAUAUUUUAGUGAUACAGUU